rfam:Picea glauca, whole genome shotgun sequence.
ACAUGCCUACAACAUAACAUUAAUGCACCGGAUCUCAUUAGAACUUCACAGUUAAGUGCGCUCAGGCUAAAAUAGUACUGGGAUGAGUGACCGCCUGGGAAGUACUAUUUUUUUACAUGCC